UUAUGAGAGUUUGAUCCUGGCUCAGGACGAACGCUGGCGGCGUGCCUAAUACAUGCAAGUCGAACGCUUUUUCUUUCACCGGAGCUUGCUCCACCGAAAGAAAAAGAGUGGCGAACGGGUGAGUAACACGUGGGUAACCUGCCCAUCAGAAGGGGAUAACACUUGGAAACAGGUGCUAAUACCGUAUAACACUAUUUUCCGCAUGGAAGAAAGUUGAAAGGCGCUUUUGCGUCACUGAUGGAUGGACCCGCGGUGCAUUAGCUAGUUGGUGAGGUAACGGCUCACCAAGGCAACGAUGCAUAGCCGACCUGAGAGGGUGAUCGGCCACACUGGGACUGAGACACGGCCCAGACUCCUACGGGAGGC
rnacentral:rRNA from 1 species